AUUGAACGCUGGCGGCAGGCCUAACACAUGCAAGUCGAGCGGAUGACGGGAGCUUGCUCCUUGAUUCAGCGGCGGACGGGUGAGUAAUGCCUAGGAAUCUGCCUGGCAGUGGGGGAUAACGUUUCGAAAGGAACGCUAAUACCGCAUACGUCCUACGGGAGAAAGCAGGGGACCUUCGGGCCUUGCGCUAUCAGAUGAGCCUAGGUCGGAUUAGCUAGUUGGUGGGGUAAUGGCUCACCAAGGCGACGAUCCGUAACUGGUCUGAGAGGAUGAUCAGUCACACUGGAACUGAGACACGGUCCAGACUCCUACGGGAGGCAGCAGUGGGGAAUAUUGGACAAUGGGCGAAAGCCUGAUCCAGCCAUGCCGCGUGUGUGAAGACGGUCUUCGGAUUGUAAAGCACUUUAAGUUGGGAGGAAGGGCAGUAAGUUAAUACCUUGCUGUUUUGACGUUACCGACAGAAUAAGCACCGGCUAACUCUGUGCCAGCCGCCGCGGUAAUAC
rnacentral:rRNA from 1 species